rfam:Felis catus isolate Cinnamon breed Abyssinian chromosome C2, whole genome shotgun sequence.
GCCUGGCUGGCUCAGUUGGUAGAGCAUGUGACUCUCGAUCUCAGAGUUGUGAGUUCAAGCCCCACAUUGGGUG